AGUGAACGCUGGCGGUAGGCCUAACACAUGCAAGUCGAACGGCAGCACAGUAAGAGCUUGCUCUUACGGGUGGCGAGUGGCGGACGGGUGAGGAAUACAUCGGAAUCUACUUUUUCGUGGGGGAUAACGUAGGUAAACUUACGCUAAUACCGCAUACGACCUACGGUUGAAAGCAGGGGAUCUUCGGACCUUGCGCGAUUGAAUGAGCCGAUGUCGGAUUAGCUAGUUGGCGGGGUAAAGGCCCACCAAGGCGACGAUCCGUAGCUGGUCUGAGAGGAUGAUCAGCCACACGGGAACUGAGACACGGUCCAGACUCCUACGGGAGGCAGCAGUGGGGAAUAUUGGACAAUGGGCGCAAGCCUGAUCCAGCCAUACCGCGUGGGUGAAGAAGGCCUUCGGGUUGUAAAGCCCUUUUGUUGGGAAAGAAAAGCAGCAGGUUAAUACCCCGCUGUUCUGACGGUACCCAAAGAAUAAGCACCGGCUAACUUCGUG
rnacentral:rRNA from 1 species